rnacentral:rRNA from 1 species
GAUAAACGCUGGCGGCGUGCCUAAUACAUGCAAGUCGAGCGAACGGACGAGAAGCUUGCUUCUCUGAUGUUAGCGGCGGACGGGUGAGUAACACGUGGAUAACCUACCUAUAAGACUGGGAUAACUUCGGGAAACCGGAGCUAAUACCGGAUAAUAUUUUGAACCGCAUGGUUCAAAAGUGAAAGACGGUCUUGCUGUCACUUAUAGAUGGAUCCGCGCUGCAUUAGCUAGUUGGUAAGGUAACGGCUUACCAAGGCAACGAUGCAUAGCCGACCUGAGAGGGUGAUCGGUCACACUGGAACUGAGACACGGUCCAGACUCCUACGGGAGGCAGCAGUAGGGAAUCUUCCGCAAUGGGCGAAAGCCUGACGGAGCAACGCCGCGUGAGUGAUGAAGGUCUUCGGAUCGUAAAACUCUGUUAUUAGGGAAGAACAUAUGUGUAAGUAACUGUGCACAUCUUGACGGUACCUAAUCAGAAAGCCACGGCUAACUACGUG